rnacentral:sRNA from 20 species
UUAAUAAAUACACAUCGGCAAUAUAGAACUGAGGGCAAACCUCGGAACCUUAAUUAAUAAAGCCUGGUGUCCCUAUGAUGAAUAACAUGACAACGCUCAAAUACUGGUCAUGGAUCGGCGUUUUCUCCGUGUCGAUUCUGUUCUGGUGCCAGCUCCUCUGGCUGGCCGUCAACUGAUCCAAAACCUCGCUUCGGCGGGGUUUUUCAUUUUC